rnacentral:rRNA from 1 species
UAAGGAAUAUUGGUCAAUGGACGCAAGUCUGAACCAGCCAUGCCGCGUGAAGGAUGAAGGUCCUCUGGAUUGUAAACUUCUUUUAUCUGGGACGAAAACGGGAUUUUUAUCUCAAUUGACGGUACCAGAGGAAUAAGCACCGGCUAACUCCGUGCCAGCAGCCGCGGUAAUACGGAGGGUGCGAGCGUUAUCCGGAUUUACUGGGUUUACAGGGUGCGUAGGUGGGCUUAUAAGUCAGUGGUGAAAUCUCCGAGCUUAACUUGGAAACUGCCGUUGNUACUAUAGGUCUUGAAUUAUCUGGAGGUAAGCGGAAUAUGUCAUGUAGCGGUGAAAUGCUUAGAUAUGACAUAGAACACCAAUUGCGAAGGCAGCUUACUACAGAUAAAUUGACGCUGAGGCACGAAAGCGUGGGGAUCAAACA